UGGGGGAGACACUUAAUGCAAAACGCAAGAAU
rnacentral:piRNA from 1 species